CGUGGGUAACCUGCCCAAGAGACUGGGAUAACACCUGGAAACAGAUGCUAAUACCGGAUAACAACACUAGACGCAUGUCUAGAGUUUAAAAGAUGGUUCUGCUAUCACUCUUGGAUGGACCUGCGGUGCAUUAGCUAGUUGGUAAGGUAACGGCUUACCAAGGCAAUGAUGCAUAGCCGAGUUGAGAGACUGAUCGGCCACAUUGGGACUGAGACACGGCCCAAACUCCUACGGGAGGCAGCAGCG
rnacentral:rRNA from 1 species